AGGUGUCCAAACAUCUGUGGAAGUUUUAUGCUUGGAUUAACAGACUUAGCAGGACGGCAGGAGCUUUUAAAGACGUUUCUGAAGGAGUCAUGCAAUCUGAUAGGCCUACUGUUUUCUUUUGCGUUCUCGUCGCAUUUCUGUGCGUCCUCGGAUUUUCAGGCAAUGCAUUUAUACGAGAAGGAAGAACUUUGGACUCAGUAGCUUUGCCAAAGGAAAAAGUCUUACCUAGUCUUAGCAGUAAUAGUAUGAGCUAUGACAGAAUUAGAUAUCCAGAACAUAUAUCAAGGGAUUUUAGGAGAAAGAUCCAAAGUGAGGACCAUUGAGGAUGCGGUCUGCCAUAAUCGUCACCCAAAAAAAGUAUUAAAUUCUAGUGUUUAUAAUUAAUGAAUGGUAUAUUGCAGGGGCAUAAGAUGUCCUUUUGAACAUGACAUAAAACGUCUUCGCGUUGUCUUUAGGUACAUAUGCUUGUUAUUUUUGAAAGAAUAAAGAAUGCAUCAAGAAAUCUGUUCAGACUUUUUUGCCACACGAUGGGGCUGUUCACAGCGUAGAUUAAAACGAAACUUGAAACUGCGUCUCGACGAACGUAAAAACUAAGGGCAAGUAAACUUUUUCACAGAAAAGUAAGUUUUCUUUGUUAAUGUUUAUUAAUUUAGUAU